ensembl:lncRNA
AUAGCCCAGUGUUGGUUCUGGACUUUGUCUAGUGUUGUACCUGUAUGAUCAUGUUUUCUGGUUAAGCUGCCAUGGAUACUGUGAAGACUUUCCUCACUAUCCUUUAUGUGCUUCUAUACAGCGGUUUCUGCUCAGAAAUGAAUUGUAAUGAUGGAGAAUGUAAACCCGUUAAGGACACCACACAAGUAUUCUGUGAGUGCCAUAAGAUGUACCGCGGUCCAGCUUGUAUUAUUGACUAUCCCACUCUUGAAAGUAAAAUCAAUGGUAUAAUAUAUAAACCAGUCCCUGAUCUGACAACAAUUUAUUUUAGUGUCAAGGAGCUGAAGGACUACACACAAGAAAUAGUUGAGUCUGUCCAACAUGACAUCCAGUGGUCACAAAUAGCUGUGAAAUACAGCAAUGUGAUUCAUAAAUUUAGAAACAUCAGCACAUUACAUACACAACUUAAAAAUGGUACAAUAACCCAACGCCACUAUGUGUCUGAAGUUGGAGCUCAGUUCACAGGGGGAAACUCUUUUCAGUUUCAUCUCACAGACUUUCACCACAUGAUGAUGGGCACUGGAUUUGGAGACAAACACAACAUUCUGGAUAUUUUUCACAAGUCGCUGGUCCAGGACUCCCAAAAACAGUCUGCUGAGCCAGUAGAGUGCACAAAAUACUACACUGACCAGAUUGAUUAUUUUGUGCGCUACAUGUUUGCCCUUGAAAAGGAAGCUGUUUUAGCUUGGUCGAAAUAUUUAAUGGUCACUGGAAAAUCAGAGAACUUUGAUUUUGUUGAGAAGGUUUUUAAGGACUAUGUCUCACAGCAGUGGAGACUCUUCAAUAAAAAUGGAUGUGGCCCUCUAAAGGCUGCAGAUCUUCAGAACAACCAUUGCAAGGAGCAGUACCACAGCACAGCCCAGCAGCAGGUGAAAAUUAAAUGUGGUGGAUUAUUGAAGCCCUUCCCUGAGUCUGUGGGGUGUUCUGGAGGACAGUGGAGCGCUUUACCUGUGUGCUACUCUGAGCAGGUAAAUGGGCGAGUUGAGUGCAAAUCUGAAGGUGGAGUCACCGUCUGUAAGGCCUCAUGCUCGCCUGGCUGGGUCUCCGCCACACACCCUCUGCCUGCUGAGUAUAAAUGCUCACAGCCGCCCUGCCCAUCCUUCACACCACACACGUGUGACAACUGCACACAGAACAGUGUGUGUAAGGACCAUGAGGUCUGCACUGGCUCCAUUGGCACAUGUCUUGAAACAUGCCUGGUUAAACCCUGUGGAGUGAACGCCAAAUGCUCGUCCUCCAAUCAUGACAGGAGCUGCACUUGUGUGAGCCCGUGGAAAGGAGACCCAUACCAAGGCUGCAGGAGUCAAGACCUCCAGUGGGUUCAGACCGAAGGAGUGCCCAGCAAUGCUGUUCGUUCUAAUGCCCAACUUGUGGUAUGCAAAGCCAUUGGACCUGACAGCGGGUGGCACAGUGGGUUUGUAAAGGAUCAACGCUGUAAUUAUGAAUAUGAUGGAAGAAAGCAUCAGGCCAAUAGCUAUGAGGUUCUGGUUGAUCCGUGUGGAGGAAGUGGUUGGAAAUGGAUGGAGGGGGAACAGCAGAACAUGGUCUCAUAUGAUGAAUCAAAGAGGUUUCCUGGAGUCAAAUACUAUGUGUGCAGUGGGAAAAGUGAUGACCUUGUAGGGAAGCUUUUCAACACGCGACAAGGAUUUAUGUGCCAUAUUGCCAAGGACAAUACCAGAGAUGGAAGUUUCUAUGCUCUGGUUCCACAACCAUGUAUCUGAAGACACUUCACCGUGAUUCACUGUUCAGUUCUUAAGUUUCUCUAGUUCAUUUAAAGCUGAAACUCGGUGGAGGUGCUGUAUUAACCUUUUGAAAGACAGACUGGACCCAGAUGCACAGAUGGAAAGGAGUAGCCAAGUCUCACAAAAAAAUUAAGUAUGUGGCGCAAACAGAUGUGGUAAUUGUUAGUACUUUUUAUUAAGUUGUUUUGCAGUGGGAUCUUUUUUAGGAUUAAAUAAAGGUAUAAAAAUAGUUUGAUGAUAUAUAUGUACAGUAUUAAGAAAAUGAUUGUGUAAUUACAUAGAGCAAUAAAAUGUUUGCUUUAAUGCAAAAAUUAAAAUGUUAUCACCACCCACCUUUAAUGCAUGUUUUUUCCUCUAUUAAUUGUCUUUUAAUGAAAGUGAAUGGCAGAAUAAAUAUUCUUCCUUACGUGGUACACAA